CUGCGAAGUGUGAGAAGUGUCUUGCUAAUGCUAUUCCUGCUUCCACUUCAUUCUUAAAUUGACUCUCAGAGGGAAGGGAGGGAAGAGAGUCCUCUCUCCGCUCCUUGGUGGCUUCCCUCUCUCCCUCUCCUCCCACACCCAACCCUCCCUCCCCCUUCUCCCCCCUCCCGCCACAGAGGCUGCACAAUUAAAUUUAAGGGAGAAGUGCAGGAACAAUAUGAGAGCCAGGAGGUUCACCCAAAAUUAGCUGAAACACUGGAGGUCCUGGGAAGUAGGAGAGAAAUGAUCACGCUAACUACAGAAUAUUUUAUAAAGGACAGUAGAGAAAUACUUAAUAUAAAGCAGCUUCUUGGUUUAAAACUGAUGAGAGUCAAUAAAAU
rnacentral:lncRNA from 11 species